ACGCCCGACCCGAACCGUCCGGUC
rnacentral:siRNA from 1 species